rnacentral:misc_RNA from 1 species
CCCUCCAUAAUAAAUUGAAAAGGGUCCUUUGGGGAAAAGUUUUCCCUUUGCUAAGAUGAAGCCGGGGAAGGUUUUCCGGUUUAUCCCGGAGGGCUUGUAGCUCAGUUGGUUAGAGCGCGCGCUUGAUAAGCGUGAGGUCGGAGGUUCAAGUCCUCCCAGGCCCACCAAUCAUUCUAUCAAUCUAUAAGCGCUUGUGGAAAUUGCUCAUAGAAAACUUUCUUUAUUCAUUUAUGAAAAAUCUCCUUAUAGAGAGAGACGCUUUUCCCUUUGGGUUUGAAAACUCAAAAUUAAAGGUGUUAAAGUGGCUUUAAAGGAAAAGUGACAAAGGAUAAGGAAUAAUGAUUUAAGUUAUCCCUUUUUGGUGAUCUUGAUUUGGGUGUUUUGAAUGCGUUAUGUUUUUUAGGGGGGCCGUAGCUCAGCUGGGAGAGCACCUGCUU